rnacentral:misc_RNA from 1 species
CUGAGUUAUCACAACUCCAAACCCAUGUGAACUUACCAUAUGUUGCCUCGGCGGGAAGACCUACCCGGGACCUACCCGGUAGCUACCCUGUAGCGCGGGUCACCCCGCCGAUGGACCAUCAAACUCUUGUUUUUUGUGGCACUUCUGAGGAUACUAUUAAAAUAAGUCA